CUGACAUCUUUUCCUCUUGUUGAUUUUAAUUCUCAGUGUUACUCUGAAUUAUUCCCUUUAUACAAGUAUUCAGAGAAGCCUGCUGACCUUCUGCCAUUUUUUCAAAUAUUUUAUUUUUGGCCACCCUGGAUGCAGUGCAAGUUCUCAUUGUGGUGGCUUCUCUCGUUUCAGAGCACAGGCCCUAGGGCUCUCGGGCACUUAGUUGUCCCUCGGCAUGUGAGAUCCUAGUUCUUGGACCAGGGGCCGAACCCAUUUCCCCCGCAUUGCUCAAGUGUUCCAAGGGAUGCGCACCCUCCUUCAACUCUGACUGGUCCACAGAAAGCUCAGUGUUGAGUGAUGAGUAAGUGGUCUACGGAUAGGCCUUUGAAAUCACUGUGAAUGCUGGAGGAGACUGCUUUCCAUUGACUGAGACCACGUUACAGCUUUUUAAAUGUUCAAAGGGGUUAGCGGCACAUCACUUCUGCAUAUUGAAAGCAUCAUGACUGCGUGGGGAGCUUCCCAUUGGUCUACCUUGAAGUCCAUCCUAGCGACACGUGUCCUUUGGCUUCCUUUCAGAUGAGGCAUUUAUUCAUUCACUUCUGAUCCUGCAGCCGCAACGGAGGGACGGGUGAGGCUUGGCACAUCACGUUCUUCUUGUUAAAAAAUACAGGCCCCUUCUCAACCUAGGCAGAGGACCUUCACACAGCUCUCCUGAAGCAGACACCUCUGAUCCACCAUGACUCUUCCCUCGGGUACAGGGACAAGUUUCCUUCUCUGUAGGUGAUCCAUAGAGUUCCUUAAUUUUCUGUUGGACUAGAGUUGGUUUACAACGUUGUGUUUCUUCUGUGCUGCAAAGUGAAUCGGUUAUACAUAUACCCACUCGUUGUUAUGUUCUUCUUCCACGCAGCUCAUCACAGAGCAUUGAGUAGAGUUUCCUGUGCUAUACAGCAGGUUCUUGGCCAUCUAUUUUAUGUAGAGUAGUGUGUACAUGUCAGUCCCAAUCUCUCACGUUAUCCCUCCCUCAUCCCCUCUCCAUAAUCUUGUCUGUUUGCCACAUCAGUGACUAUUUCUGUUUUGUAAUAACUUCAUUUUGUAUAUGACUCACAGAGCACACAUUGGUGUCUAUUUUUCCCGGGUCCUAGAAAUGUGAACGAUGGGCAGAGCCCUUACAUAGCCUAUAGCUUCAAGGACAUGAGCCUCUUUUCAAUGUGUCCCAAGCCAGUUUUUUUUUUUUUUAAACAUCAGUGUCCUUAUACAAACACAGAACAUUUCUUUUAGUCCAAGUACUUUCUCUUUCAGACCAAGUAAGUGGGAUUAACUAAUGUUGAUCUUCAGGGGUUUGACAAACGUUUUCUUUCCCCAUAAUAGCUGCCAGGUUUCCCCAGAGUUCCACUUAGUUUGAAUCUCCAAAUGGGCAAUAGAUUUCAUGACCAGGCCCCCCUCCUUCUGGGAGCCCUAGAUUGAAUGAACCAAGAUCUCUUGGCCAUAAAGGGCACCAAUGACCAAGAAUGUCUGUCUGAUUCUAGUCUAAUAUGAAGCCCCUUUGGAACCAGUCACCUUGGCAAUGACAUCAAGGCUUUGGGAGCGAAGACUGGAUUAUACCCAAUAAAUUAAAAGAAACCAGAAUCUUGGGAACUUACACAUGGAAAGAAAAAAAAAAAACAUUUCAGCUGGUGUAGCAAUAUAAACUAGCAAGUUAUCAUUCUAAAGGGGAUUGUUGUUGUUCAGUCAUUAAGUCGUGUCUAACUCCGCAAACCCAUCUCUG